AAUUAAACAAUCCAAAACACACUGGUUACUAUAGGUCACGGAGUCCGAUCCGCACACAGGAUCAUAGUUUCGAGGACACGGGCAGGAGUACUGGAAUACCUGGCCCACAGCCAUGGCCAAAAGAGCAGACAGACAGAAAGCGAUGAAGGCUAGGCAACGCAUGGCUAAAAUGCUAGACAGGCUUGGCAAGACUGGAGCUUUCCCACUUGAUCGCCACUUAUUUAUAGAUAAGCCAGAACCUGCCACCUUAGCAAGCCCUUGUUCGCUGGAAAAACUACAGCAAUAAACCGAGACUUUAGCAUUUUUUUGAAAGUUUAAAGUUAACCGAUGCUCGCAGCCCUAUUCCACCGAAUCUUAUACCAAAAUAUAAUAUGCAAUACUGAUACGCAGGCAAUAUUUGCCUAAAUAAAAGCCAAGCG
ensembl:ncRNA asRNA:CR43936 antisense RNA:CR43936